rnacentral:miRNA from 1 species
UGUCCAACUUAUCUGUGCCCUC